rnacentral:piRNA from 2 species
UGAGUUCAAUUCCCAGAAACCACAUG